UGGGGAAUCUUGCACAAUGGGCGAAAGCCUGAUGCAGCGACGCCGCGUGCGGGAUGAAGGCCUUCGGGUUGUAAACCGCUUUCAGCAGGGACGAGGCCGCAAGGUGACGGUACCUGCAGAAGAAGCCCCGGCUAACUACGUGCCCGCAGCCGCGGUAAUACGUAGGGGGCAAGCGUUAUCCGGAUUCAUUGGGCGUAAAGCGCGCGUAGGCGGUUUGUUAGGUCAGGAGAUAAAUCUGGGGGCUCAACCUCUAGCCGCUCCUGAUACCGGCAGGCUUGAGUCUGGUAGGGGAAGGCGGAAUUCCAAGUGUAGCGGUGAAAUGCGCAGAUAUUUGGAAGAACACCGGUGGCGAAGGCGGCGUUCUGGGCAACGACUGAAGCGGAGGCGCGAAAGCUAGGGGAGCGAACAGG
rnacentral:rRNA from 1 species